GACGAACGCUGGCGGCGUGCUUAACACAUGCAAGUCGAACGGAAAGGCCCUGCUUGCUGGGUACUCGAGUGGCGAACGGGUGAGUAACACGUGGGUGAUCUGCCCUGCACUUCGGGAUAAGCCUGGGAAACUGGGUCUAAUACCGGAUAGGAGCCAUUUUUAGUGUGAUGGUUGGAAAGUUUUUUCGGUGUAGGAUGAGCUCGCGGCCUAUCAGCUUGUUGGUGGGGUAAUGGCCUACCAAGGCGGCGACGGGUAGCCGGCCUGAGAGGGUGGACGGCCACAUUGGGACUGAGGUACGGCCCAGACUCCUACGGGAGGCAGCAGUGGGGAAUAUUGCACAAUGGGCGCAAGCCUGAUGCAGCGACGCCGCGUGGGGGAUGACGGCCUUCGGGUUGUAAACUCCUUUCGCUAGGGACGAAGCUUUUGUGACGGUACCUAGAGAAGAAGCACCGGCUAACUACGUG
rnacentral:rRNA from 1 species